rnacentral:rRNA from 1 species
ACGCACGCUGGCGGCGUGCUUCACCCCUGCCAGUCGCACGGAAAGGCCCUGCUUUUGUGGGGUGCUCGAGUGGCGAACGGGUGAGUAACACGUGAGUAACCUGCCCUUGACUUUGGGAUAACUUCAGGAAACUGGGGCUAAUACCGGAUAGGAUCUCCUGCUGCAUGGUGGGGGUUGGAAAGUUUCGGCGGUUGGGGAUGGACUCGCGGCUUAUCAGCUUGUUGGUGGGGUAGUGGCUUACCAAGGCUUUGACGGGUAGCCGGCCUGAGAGGGUGACCGGCCACAUUGGGACUGAGAUACGGCCCAGACUCCUACGGGAGGCAGCAGUGGGGAAUAUUGCACAAUGGGCGGAAGCCUGAUGCAGCAACGCCGCGUGCGGGAUGACGGCCUUCGGGUUGUAAACCGCUUUCGCCUGUGACGAAGCGUGAGUGACGGUAAUGGGUAAAGAAGCACCGGCUAACUACGUG